rnacentral:tRNA from 1 species
GCCUGGGUGGCUCAUUCGGAAGAGCAUGUGACUCUUGAUCUCGGGGUCGUGGGUUCAAGCCCCACAUUGGGUG